UUGCGCAAUAAAACCAGAUAAAAAGGAAACCUGCAAAGUGACAGCGCACAUUUGAGGUAUCAACACUUGAGCAGGACGAUUUACCAGACUGGUGUCAGGAGACGUGACUCUGUGAAAACAUGAAGCUUGUGAUUCUCUCCCUCUUGGUGGUGCUGGUUGUCAGCCAGAGUGAGGCCUUGAAGUGUAACUGUGGAGGCAUUCGCAACUGUCCAGGAGGCCGUGUGGAGACCUGCUACGGUUCAGACAGUGUCUGUAUCAGUGCUUUCUUGAACAAUCCUGCAGGUGCUCCAAGGCACUUCAAGGGUUGUUACCCACAACAUGGCUGUGAGAGUAUAAAUCGUCUUGGUAUUGGAUCUGCCUCUUGCUGCAGGACUGAUCUGUGCAACUGAUAAAUGAAUGUCAUCACUGUGGCUGUAAAAACAUCCUCUGAUGUUAUUGUUAAGUUGUCAUGUAUUGUGCAUUCUGGUGUUCUCAUAAUAAAGUUAAAGGAUGUUAUGAA